GGUCAAAUAGCCAAACCGAAAAACUGCCGGAAAAAAUGUUUUCUGCUACUAAGAUCAGUGAAAUGUAGGCUAAACUGACAACGAAGUGAAGAGCAGAAAUCUCAACUAUAGCAAGCAAGUCGCAGCAAUGAAGAACGCGAAGAAGGGGAUAAUUCUGGCAGAGGGGAGAUUUUUGAUAGGACAACUAGCGAGUUGUCAGCUGACUGACUAUCAACUUCAGAAUGCUGCAAAUCAAGGCAGUGACACUUCGGCAUGGCCUAAGUCACUGAAGAUUGAAAGACAGGAGUUUGUUCCUGCGUGAGCAGAGCAGCUCUGCCCUCACCCAUGGCCCUGCCACAUCCGCAAAGACCCCCAGCCGCCCCAGGGUAUCCCAGCCCUCUCAGCAGGGGCCAGGCUUCUCCAAUGAGCACUGCAGGGGCUGCAGAUUGACCAGGCCUGGGACCGGUCCUCGUAGGGCAAGCCGUGUCCAGCUGUUCUUCCCCGCUCCCUCCCUGUCCUCUGGGACUGAGUGGGAUACUACUACCCACCCACCUUCUUGGUCACACUACCUGAGUGGCUUCAGCCUAAGUGGGGUCAGUGCUCUCAGUAGUCCCUUCUUCAGUUCAGCCUGGAGACUAGCUCCAGCCUCCACCUCCAGGGCCACUCCCUCAGAGCAUCACUCUGCUCAGAGAGCAGGUCUGGGGAAUUUCAUGCUGUCCCCUCCAGAACUUCAGCACCAACACAGUCCCAGACCGGGGAUCCAUCAGCAGCCGCAGGAGGAGCGCCAAGAUGGGGAUGGGAGGGCAGGGGAGGCAGGGUGGUGGGUUUCAGACUGAGAAGGAGGUCCAGGGAGAUCCGAUGGUGGUGGGAAGGAGGAGGUAAUAAGAUAGGGGACACAACGCUGUUCCAGCUCAGCUAACAACAACCUGGAAGACUUCCCACCUAUGGGAACGUUGCACGCCUCACCACCUAGACUGCAGACAGAACCAUCAGGGAGGAUCAACCCAACCCCAGUCAGUGCAGAGCGGCCUCACUCCAGACCUAAGACUUUCACUUCCACCCCGUUCAGCACCAGGCCCUCCAGCCCUCCACAGUCCCAGAGGCAGUCACUGGGGCCCUAAACGUCAAUGUGGGCAGCCCCCCUCUGUCUGCAGGAGGAGUGAGAACUGCUAAAGAGAGAGAAACUAUAUGUUUUACUUCUCCGAGGACAGGUUUCCCAGACACGGAGUAAGCCUUGUCCUGGACUAAAUUCAUGCUCCAUGGAAAAUCUCAAUUAAUAUCUGGUUCCCAAUGUGUUCCUGGAGCUUUUCUUUGUGCUACAGCUAGCUGACGUCUAGAACACCCUCCGUCACAGAGGAAGAGGAGGAAGAUCUAAGUAUAGAGAAGUCAGAUGUCCUGGAAAGAGGUUACUACAGAAAUAUGCACAACUGUGUCUACUUCUCUGUCAGGGUGCUGGAGAAUCAGUUUGAGGCCCCCCAGGUGUGGGAGCUGGUCCAUGGUGGAGAGAGGUUGCUGAGGGAGGGGCUGAUCUCACCAGUGGCCAACCCUCUGAAACCCAAGGACUCCAUCUGUGCUCAGCUCUGUAACGUGGAGCCAGCAGGCUCUGCCGAGAGAUACCAGGUUCUGCAGUGUGAAAGGUUUGGAAGACUUCAGGGUGUUCCUUCCUGAUGAAACUUCUCCUGCUAUUCUCACCACGUCUGAGAACAUCCAGUCUCGUCCCAGCUCAGUGCCCUCAGAGACUGGUGGUGUGGGUGGGGCCGAGGCUAAGACUGGAAGUGGGGCCGGUGCUGCGACGGCACCCAGGAACAGCCACGGACACCAAGACAGGAAAAGGCAAGGUGGCUUUGACAUUAUUAUGGUGAUGAUGGUUAUUAUGGUGAUGAUGGUUAUUAUGGUGAUGAUGGUUAUUAUGGGGAUGAUGGUUAUUAUG